UACGGAGGGUGCAAGCGUUAUCCGGAUUCACUGGGUUUGAAGGGUGCGUAGGUGGGUUGGUAAGUCGGGUGUGAAAUCUCGGAGCUUAACUCCGAAACUGCAUUCGAUACUGCCGUGCUUGAGGACUGGAGAGGAGACUGGAAUUUACGGUGUAGCGGUGAAAUGCGUAGAUAUCGUAAGGAAGACCAGUGGCGAAGGCGGGUCUCUGGACAGUUCCUGACGCUGAGGCACGAAGGUCAGGGGAGCAAACGGG
rnacentral:rRNA from 1 species